rnacentral:lncRNA from 1 species
CAAAGCAAGAGCAGAGGUGAUUGAGGUCUUUGGUAAUCAAAACCCAGAUUCUGAAGGGAUGGCCAAAUUAAAGACGGUAAGCAAACUAUACAAAUUCAAUAGCUUGAAAACUAACACUGACCAUUUAUAUUGCCUUUUGGAUUUUUUUUUUCUCCAACAGAUUACCAUGAUUAUCAAUGAAACUUUACGGCUCUAUCCUCCUAUAAAUCGCGUGAUAAGAGAAGUAGGAAGAGAAGUCCAAUUAGGAAAACUUGUCCUGCCUACUCAUUCAGAGGUCGACAUGCAAAUCAUAGCACUUCACCAUGACCCUGACUUAUGGGGAGAUGAUGUUAACCUUUUCAAACCAGAGAGGUUUGCUGAAGGGAUAGCGAAAGCUACUAAGUACAAUGCAGCUGCAUUUAUGCCUUUUGGAUUGGGACCUCGAUCUUGCGUAGGCAUGAGCUUUGCAAUCACUGAAGUGAAAACUGCACUUUCCAUGAUUCUGCAACGCUAUACUUUCACCGUCUCCCCUACCUAUGUUCACGCACCUGCACCACGUCUUUCACUCAAGCCACAACAUGGGAUUCAGUUGUUGUUUCAUUCACUACAUUAUGAUGCUUAAAAUUCUAGGCUGUUGGUCUCCAAUAUUGUAAUAUAUAAUAAAAUGUGGAUGAUACUGUAUUUUGCAACCAUACGAUGAUAUAUGGUUUGGGGAUUUCAUGUUUUGGCAACAAGAUUAUAUGCUUUUUGUUGUUGUUGAUAUUGUUAAAGGUUAAAAAGGUAUUACAGCAAACAUCGCCACCGCAGGAGCAGGCCCUACGGUCCACCAAAGAGAAAUCAAUUCAAACUACCCCAAAAAGCUGGAACGGCAGCAGCAAAUCGAGUCAGCUCCCUGAACAUCAUACAGCAACACAGAAAGAAGAACAUCACAACCCAGUCAUAUACACGCCAUGAAGACAUUGGACUCCACAUUUUGCUAAAGUAUCAGCAAAGCAGCUAGAUUCUUUAUACACAUUCACAAUGGAGACAUUAUGGGAUCUCAUCACAGAGCUUAGAAUAUGACCCAUCCAGCAUUUGAGAAACAGUGAAGAUGUCAAGUCCAGGAGCUCCAAACAAUGCCUUGGCCGCUGGAUCCUAUAAUUAGGUGUCUUUCUUCCAUUACUACUGCAGUAGUGAAGUUUUUAUUCCACUUGGUUCCCAUCUUCCAGAGUUUCUGCUUGAAACACUCACUCCUGGAGCCGGCCAUUACAUUGCUUGUUAGCUUUCAUGGAAGGCUCGAAGCUCAUUAGACCAGAAACAUUGUUACUUUGCCUAUGUAUCUAUUUGACAUAUUCUCUUAAGGAAGAGCUACUUAUAUCAAGGCUCCAUCUUUCUGAGUUGCAGGGCAAAAGUCCGUUCUCCAUGCAAAACUACCCAUUUCCACUAAAGCACACUAGCUUUCGCCAUCCCAUCCGCGAAAAAACCUGAAAUGAUACACCAGAAACUCCCUCAAGACAGACAGAGCCAAGUCACUUUCUCGCUAAUCCCCAUUGAACCCUCCAAUUAAGCAAAGCCAUUUCAUAUUUCAACCCAAUGGCCACCACAAUUGCCGUACAAAAUUUACAAAUUAAAAUGCAAAAAGUAAUACAGAAAAAUACACAGCCCAAGCUCCAAUAGUAACAUAAACAUUCAUUUUAUAACAAUAAAGUUAAAGCCACGAAUAUUUUCAAAAAAAUUCAAUUAAGCCCUUGAAUGUUAAAAUUUCAAUCAAUUAAGCUCUUUGAUAGUUAAAGUUAACAGUUAAUUGUUAUAGUUAAAAUUUCAAUCAAUUAAGGUACGGUGUAGCGUUUGUUUACCCAUCGUUUAACCAUGUGGUUGAAGGUUCGAUCCCCACUUAUGGAAAUGAAGCACAUUUCAUAGUCAGUCAUUUACCUAUUUGGAGAGCACUUAUAGUGAGAAGAUUAACUACUGUUGUUGUUGGUGAAUUCCCUGAUUAUUACAAAUAAAAAAUAACAAUUGUCAUUUUUUUUGGAUUAUUUUUGCCACGUGCCAUGCUAAGAUUGUGCCACGUGGUAUAAAAUUAUAAAAAUCAUAUAAAAAUUAUACAAGAAUUAUAAAAAUGAAUAAAAUUAGAAAAAAUAUAUAAAAAAUCUAUUUUUAAAAGGUUAAUAAAUUUAAUAUUUUAUUAUUUUGAAAAGGAUAAUAAAUUUUUAAAAGGUUUUUUUAUUCUUAAAUUUUUAAGGGCUAUUUAAAUUUAAUUUCAAAAUAAAGCAUGCCUAAUAUAUAAAUAGACAUUUAAUUGGUGUCCAACAGGAAUGGCGUCACUCCUAUUUUUCAUCUAGUUUAAAAAUGAUAAUUAAUUCAUCAGGUGUCUGAACAUUUUUAUUUAUUCUUCAAUUCAAUGUCACAAAAAACAAUGACAACAUCCAAAAUAUUUUUUUUUUUUAAAAUGAGUCACCGACAUUUAUGGUUUAAAAUGAGUUUCAAAAUAAGUUAUUUUUAUAAAUAAUUAAAAGUUUUGGGUAUUUUUAAUAAAAAAAGCCUAAGUUUGAUGAAUGGCGUCAGCCAUUAUGUAGGUCUACUUAAUACGAAAACGACGGCUUGAUUUUGUUGGCCAAAAGGAAAGUACCUUUUGGGUUUUGCUUUGCCCAAAUGCUAGCAAAGUCUUUGCAUGCAUUUGUUUGAUUGGAAAAGUGAGAAAUAGAUGAACAUGGUAAGCACAAAUUCUAGACAUUACCAUAUCACCUAUAAAAUUUAGUUAUCUUUUUAAUUUCUUUUGGUGUAUUAUAAAAAAAAAAUUCUAAUAACACGACUUGAAUCAAAUCAUAUCUUAGUCAAGAGAUGGGGUUAUUUUAAUUUUUGUUUAUAAAAAAAAAAUCUUGUUCAUUGAGGGCCCUAGUAGGAGGUAUUGAAUAAUAACUAGAAGUCAAAUCCUGCACGCUUCCCAUUUCUGUGUAUUGAAUUGGCUGUAAUUUUCAAAGGACAUGAACCUUGAAGAGGGACAAGUGUAGUCUCUUGAUGAUAAAUGUGUUGACUGUCACCUUGCAAAACCCAGAUUACCAUAACAGAUGCAAAAUCUGAUCGGUGAAGAUAAGAAAAUGGAGACCAUGGGAAAUCUUCUAAUCCUGUUUACAGCUUCUUUAUGCCUCUAUCUUUUCGUUGCUUUGCUCAAUGUUUUCUACAAGUAUUGCUGGAUACCUCAACGGGUACAGUUCAUCAUGAAUUCACAAGGAAUCAGAGGACCUCCUUAUGAAUUUAUCCAUGGAAACAACAAAGAAGCUGCCCAAAUGCUCAUGGAAGCAUCUACCAAACCUAUGGCCUUGACACACGAUAUAUUUCCCAGAGUCAUGCCUCAUGUUUACUCCUGGAUCAACAAAUACGGUGAGAAUAUGUUUUUUUUAUCUUUUUUGGGUAGUAUUUUCUGAUUAACCUCCACUUUCCAUGAAGAGAAAUCAUUUUCUUUCAGGGAAGACUUAUCUUAGUUGGAAUGGAAUUCGAGCUCAACUGCUAAUUACAGACCCAGAUCUAGUCAAAGAGGUCCUUAAAAACAGUGACAAAGCUUUUCGAAAGCCAAAGGCUUCAUAUUUCUUCGACAAGCUACUAGGCGAUGGGCUUGCUUCAACCGAACGUGAGAAAUGGGCAAGGCAAAGGAAACUGGCCAAUUAUGCCUUUCAUGGGGAGAGCUUAAAAGUAAAUCAUCUCUACCUUCUAAUCUAAUUAUUGUAGUGCGACAUUUACAAACUUGAUCAUUUUUUGCAGAAUAUGACUCCAGCAGUAGUUGCUAGCGUUGAAACCAUGCUUGAGAAAUGGAAAAGUAAGGAGGGCAAAGAGAUAGAAGUGUUCCAAGAGUUCAGAUUAUUGACUUCAGAAGUGAUAUCCAGAACCGCCUUUGGUAGCAGUUACUUGGAAGGGGAGAAGAUUUUUGACAUGCUGAUGAAGUUGUCAGUAAUUGCAGGCAGAAAUAUUUUUAAAGCAAAGAUUCCCAUCAUCAGGUAACUUCAUCAAAUCUUUACUUUGUUAAUCAACAUACUUCAGCUUACAAUGGGUUGAUUUAAUCUGGUUGUCCUUUUCAGCAAGUUUUGGAAAUCUGCUGAUGAAAUUGAAUCAGAAAGAAUUGCCAAAAUGAUACAUGAUUCUGUGAUGAGGAUUGUUAAAAAAAGGGAAGAGAGAGUAGUGAACGGAGAAGCUGAUAACUUCGGUCGUGAUUUUCUGGGAUUACUCGUAGAUGCUUAUCAUGAGGCGGACCAGGAAAACAGGCUUUCGAUUCAAGAUAUGGUAGAUGAGUGUAAAACUUUUUAUUUUGCUGGGCAAGAAACAGUCAAUUCCUUGCUUGCAUGGGCAACUCUGCUUUUAGCAAUACACACCGAUUGGCAAGACAAAGCAAGAGCAGAGGUGAUUGAGGUCUUUGGUAAUCAAAACCCAGAUUCUGAAGGGAUGGCUAAAUUAAAGACGGUAAGCAAACUAUACAAAUUCAAUAGCUUGAAAACUAGCACUGACCAUUCAUAUUGCCUUUUGGAUUUUUUUUUCUCCGAUAGAUUACCAUGAUUAUCAAUGAAACUUUACGGCUCUAUCCUCCUAUAAGUGGCGUGAUAAGAGAAGUAGGAAGAGAAGUCCAAUUAGGAAAACUUGUCCUGCCUACUCAUUCAGAGGUCGACAUGCGAAUCAUAGCGCUUCACCAUGACCCUGACUUAU